UACGUAGGGUGCAAGCGUUGCCCGGAUUUAUUGGGCGUAAAGGGCGCGUAGGCGGCUCGGCACGUCCGUUGUGAAAUCGCCCGGCUCAACUGGGCGGGGUCAGCGGAUACGGCCGAGCUUGAGCAAGCUAGGGGGCAAUGGAAUUCCCGGUGUAGUGGUGGAAUGCGUAGAUAUCCGGAGGAACACCGGUGGCGAAGGCGGCUUCCUGGACCGACACUGACGCUGAGGCGCGAAAGCUAGGGGAGCAAACAGGG
rnacentral:rRNA from 1 species